rnacentral:rRNA from 1 species
CCUACGGGUGGCAGCAGUGGGGAAUAUUGGACAAUGGGGGCAACCCUGAUCCAGCCAUGCCGCGUGUGUGAAGAAGGCCCUCGGGUUGUAAAGCACUUUCAGUGAGGAAGAACGCCUGGUGGUUAAUACCCAUCAGGAAAGACAUCACUCACAGAAGAAGCACCGGCAUAACUCCGUGCCAGCAGCCGCGGUAAUACGGAGGGUGCGAGCGUUAAUCGGAAUUACUGGGCGUAAAGCGCGCGUAGGUGGCUUGAUAAGCCGGUUGUGAAAGCCCCGGGCUCAACCUGGGAACGGCAUCCGGAACUGUCAAGCUAGAGUGCAGGAGAGGAAGGUAGAAUUCCCGGUGUAGCGGUGAAAUGCGUAGAGAUCGGGAGGAAUACCAGUGGCGAAGGCGGCCUUCUGGACUGACACUGACACUGAGGUGCGAAAGCGUGGGUAGCAAACAGGAUUAGAUACCCCUGUAGUC